AACGAACGCUGGCGGCAUGCCUAUCACAUGCAAGUCGAACGAGACCUUCGGGUCUAGCGGCGCACGGGUGCGUAACGCGUGGGAACCUGCCCUUAGGUUCGGAAUAACUCCCCGAAAGGGGUGCUAAUACCGGAUAAUGUCUUCGGACCAAAGAUUUAUCGCCUUUGGAUGGGCCCGCGUUGGAUUAGCUAGUUGGUAGGGUAAAAGCCUACCAAGGCGACGAUCCAUAGCUGGUCUGAGAGGAUGAUCAGCCACACUGGGACUGAGACACGGCCCAGACUCCGACGGGAGGCAGCAGUGGGGAAUAUUGGACAAUGGGCGAAAGCCUGAGCCAGCAAUGCCGCGUGAGUGAUGAAGGCCUUAGGGUUGUAAAGCUCUUUUACCCGGGAUGAUAAUGACAGUACCGGGAGAAUGAACUCCGGCUAACUCCGUG
rnacentral:rRNA from 1 species